rnacentral:lncRNA from 1 species
CACCAAUCUUCAAAGCCCGAAAGUUGAAAUUCACAGCAAAUUCUUGUUCAUUGCAAAAAAUAGCUAAAUCAAUAAGAAAAAGUAAUACUAAUACACAAAUAUCAGUAAAUACCCUAAUUCUAAACUUGAACUAUUUUCUUCAACCCCAAAGCUGACUUCUGAAACCCUUGCCUUUGUUAAUCCGAUUUUCUAUAGAUGGGAAAUCAAUGGCCAGCGGGAAGGGUGAGUUUUAGGGAUUUCAAAUUGGGGAAAAAGAUAGUUUUUUCCGGAUGUCGAAUUGGGGAAGAAGACACGAUAAAACUUUAUGGAUUUGGGACUAAGGAAAAGAGGGGAAAUGAAGGGGAGAACGGGGAAAAUGUUAGGUGUUAUUGUCUGGGUAAAAAAUAAGGCAGCAAAACGACAAUGGUUUGACCAAAACAAUUUGACAUUUGCUGCGUUUCCACCGUAUGGCCGCUAAAAGGGUAAGCUAUUACGGCGUUUUACCAAAACGCCACUAAUAAACCAAUAAAACGAAGACGUUUUAAUAUAAACAAAAUCAACUUUAGCGGCGUUUAUAAACUAGCACCACUAAAUCUGAACCUACUGCGGCGCUUUGCCACAAACGCCACUAACAAAUCCUAUAAAACGGCGCCGUUUAGUUUUAAAACAUGAUGAUCUUUUGCGGCGUUUUUGGAAAAACGCCGCUAUUGCAUACCUUUUGCGGCGUUUAUGGAAAACGCCGCUAAUGCCUUUAAAAUUUUAAAUUAUUUAAUAUAUAAAUAAAAAAUAAUAUAAAUUAAAAAAAUAAGUUAUAUAGCCAAAAAACUUUAAUUUUAUUUUAAAUAAUAGUAUUUUAAUUUUUUUCAUUUAAAUAAAUAAUUUUUUAAAAUUUAACUAAUAUUUAAAAGAGCUGCAUAAAAUUUGAAAUCUUGAAAAUUAUUGAAAAUUUGAAAUCAUUAAAAUUUGAAAUUAUGUAAUAUAUAAAUUAAAAAAAUCAGUCAUAUACCCAAAAAAACUUUAAAAUUAAUUAUUUUAAAUAAUAGUAUUUCAAAUUUUAAUUAAAUUUUUUAACACUAUUAUCCUAAACCCUUAACCCAUGUCCCCUUAACCCCUAAACCCCUCAACCCUAAACCAUUAACCCUUAAUCUUUAAAAUUUGAACACUAAACCCUAAACCAUGUCCCCUUAACCCCUAAACCCCUCAACCUUAAACCAUAAACCCUUAAUCCCUAAACUUUAAACACUAAACCCUAAACUAUAUCCCUUUAACCCCUUAACUCUUAACAAUUAACCACUAGACCCUCAACCUUUAAAUCUUAACCCCUAAACCAUAAACCCCAAAUCCCUAAACCUUUAGCCCUUGAACCAUAAACCAUAAACCAUAAACCAUAAACCAUAAUCCCUAAAUCCACAAUCAAUUAUCCAUAAACCUUAAAAUAAUAUUAACCCAUAAACCAUAAACCCCUAAACCCAUAAUCCCUAGACCCAUGCAUAAUCCAUAAACCUUAAAAUAUUAACUCGUCAUAAUCCAUAAAUCAUAAACCCUAAACCAUAUAUACCCUAAACCAUGCAUAAACCUUAAACUAUAAUAAUGAUAAUUAAUUAAAUAUUUUAAAAUUAAUAUCAUCUCUUUUAUGAUUAUAUAAGAAUUUAUUUAAUAUAUAAAUUGACAAACAAUCAGUCAUAUACCCAAAAAGCUUUAAAACUAUUUUAAAUAAUAUAUACUAUAUAACAUUUUUUAUUUUUAACAUAUAUUUUUAUAUGUUUUUAUUUUUAAUUUUUUCUACAUGUCAUUAAUUUAGGGUUUAUAGUUUAAGGUUUCAAAUUUAAGGUCUAUAGUUUAUGGGUUUAGGGGCUAAGCAUUAGGAGUUAGGGUUAACGGGUUAGGAUUUAUGGUUAGGGUAGUGUUUAGAGUUUUAAGGGUUUAUGGUCUGAGACUUAGGGUUUACAAGUUUGGUAAUUUAAGGGUUUAGUGGGUUAGGGUUUAGAGAAUGGUGUAGUUAAUUUAUAUUGUUCAUAAAGUCAGUUUCAGAUAUGAUCAAAAUAAAAUCAAAAUAAAAAUAAGACCUUAUUUUAUUUGUUAUAAUUUGGUCCUAUCCAAAAUAGAUAGUUACCUAUCCAUAUCAAUUUGCUACUUUUUUUAUUUUUCAAUAAAUAAUUUGUUAUAUUUUUAAUAUAUUAAAUUUAAUAUUAUCUCUUUUACAACUAUAUAAUAGAUUAUUUAAUAUAUAAAUUAAAAAUACUAAUUAAUCUAAACCUUAAACUCUUAACUACAAUCUUUAAAACCCUAAAUCAUAAAACCUAAACCAUCAACUCUAAACCAACCCUUAAACCCAUAAUCUAUAAACCUUAAAAUAGUUUAGAUCUAUAGCGGCGUUUUUCCAAAAAGCGCCACUAAAACUCAAAUCUAUUGCGGCGUUUUUUGAAAAGCGCCACUAAAACUCAAAUCCAUAGCGAUGUUUUUUAAAAAGCGCCGCUAAUACUCAAUCUAUAGCGGCGUUUUUGAGGAAGCGCCGCUAUUGCCACUAAAGCUCAAAAUAAAUGACGCGGUUCGGCUAUAGGUCGACCGAUAGCGGAGCUUUCUGAAAAACACCACUAAUAGCGGCAUUUUUGAUAAAGCGCCGCUAUUGCCACUAAAGCUCACAAUAAACAACGCCGUUCGGCUUAAUCUUUUAGUGGCAUUUUUAUAAAAAGCUUUCUUAAAAACGCCGCUAAUUCUCGAUCUAUAGCUGCGGUUUUUUUUAAAAACGCCGCUAAUACUCGAUUUAUUCAAUUUUUAGUGGCGUUUUCUUUUCAAACGCUGCUAAAAGUCUGUUUUCUUGUAGUGUUAUGCUCAAAAUUAUACUCACGAAAAGCCCGAAGAAAUUUAUUACUCGCACAACCUUGAUAAUUCCAAGAAAAUUCGAAUCCAUAAAAAUAGAUAGGAAUAUAUUAAUAAAAAUAAAUAACACCAAAAACCUUACUAACAGAACCAUAAAAAAUCGUUCUUAAAUUCUUUUACCUGGGUCUGGAGCAACAGCUUCUGGUUCAGCACUUCGUACCAUGGAGACUGUUUGAGCCAACUUAGAUAUAGAAUCACUCAAAGGAAUUUUAGAAUUAUUUUUAGUUCUAAAAUUAACCCCUUUCCCUUUUGAGUGAUUUUAUUAAUUUUUUUAGUAGGUCGGAAACCCAAUCUUU